GCUGGCACCAUGGGCAGAGUGAAGAACCGAUCCAGUGCUCAGCGGCGGAGGCGAAAGCGGCCUGGGGAUCCUGCCGCCGCCUUCGCAGCCAUCGCGGUCAUGGGCGCCAGCCGUGAGCGGUGCCCCCCUGUCCAAGUCGGGGUUGGGAGCCACGCGGCCGGGAAGGAGCUGGCAGCUGCCAGAAGGUGGCGGGGAAGGUCGCGGCGGAAGCGCUGGUGGCGGCGGGUCCGACAUGCGGGCCCCAGAGAUGCGCUGCCCCCAGGGCCAUCCCGGAACCGGGCCCCCGCCGCGUCCCCCCAGGAGCUGGACCUGGGCGCACAGCGCGAGCGCUGGGAGAAGUUCAGGAGGCUGCGGGGCCUCAGCUGCGAGGGCGCCGCCAAGGUCCUGCUGGACACCUUCGAGUAUCCAGGCCUGGUGUAUCACACUGGGGGUUGUCACUGCGGCGCGGUCCGCUUUGCGGCCUGGGCCCCAGCAGAUCUGCGCGUGCUGGAUUGCAGCUGCAGGCUGUGUACGAAGAAGCAGCACCGCCACUUCCUGGUACCGGCCUCGCGCUUCACGCUGCUCCAGGGUGCGGAGAGCUUGGUCACCUAUCUAUCCAACACUCACCCGGCGCUGCACAGCUUCUGCAGCAGAUGCGGGGUGCAGAGUUUCCACUCAGUCGUCUCUGACCCCCGGGUGUACGGCGUCGCCCCGCACUGCCUGGACGCCGGCACCGUGCGCAGCGUGGUCGUCGAGGAGGUCGACUGUGGCGAUCAGGAGGAGGAGGCCACCAAGGAGCACAAGACCUCGCUGAACGCAUCCACCGAGGCAGCCCUUGCCUGUCCCGCCGAAAAGGAGCAGUGACUGGGG